rnacentral:rRNA from 1 species
GCCCUAGUACGGCGAGUGAAGCGGCACAGCUCAAUUUGAAAUCUGGCCUUUGGUCCGAAUUGUAAUUUGUAGAGGAUGCUUUUGGUGCGGUUCUUUCCGAGUUCCCUGGAACGGGACGCCUUAGAGGGUGAGAGCCCCGUACGGUUGGAUACCAAGCCUUUGUAUAGCUCCUUCGACGAGUCGAGUAGUUUGGGAAUGCUGCUCUAAAUGGGAGGUAAAUUUCUUCUAAAGCUAAAUACCGGCCAGAGACCGAUAGCGCACAAGUAGAGUGAUCGAAAGAUGAAAAGCACUUUGAAAAGAGGGUUAAAUAGCACGUGAAAUUGUUGAAAGGGAAGCGUUUAUGACCAGACUUUUUCCAAGCGGAUCAUCCGGUGUUCUCACCGGUGCACUUUCGCUUGGUUGAGGCCAGCAUCGGUUUUCGUAGAGGGAUAAAAGCUUUAGGAAUGUGGCUCUUCGGAGUGUUAUAGCCUAUUGUAUAAUACCUUUAUGGGGACCGAGGUUCGCGCUCUGCAAGGAUGCUGGCGUAAUGGUCAUCAACGACCCGUCUUGAAACACGGACCAAGGAGUCGAACAUUUGUGCGAGUGUUUGGGUGUUAAACCCUCACGCGUAAUGAAAGUGAACGGAGGUGAGAGCCUUAGGGUGCAUCAUCGACCGAUCCUGAUGUUUUCGGAUGGAUUUGAGUAAGAGCAUAACUGUUCGGACCCGAAAGAUGGUGAACUAUGCGUGGAUAGGGUGAAGCCAGAGGAAACUCUGGUGGAGGCUCGCAGCGGUUCUGACGUGCAAAUCGAUCGUCAAAUCUGCGCA